rnacentral:rRNA from 1 species
UACGUAGGGGGCAAGCGUUGUCCGGAAUCAUUGGGCGUAAAGCGCGUGUAGGCGGUUCAGUAAGUCUGCUGUGAAAGUCCAGGGCUCAACCCUGGGAUGCCGGUGGAUACUGCUGGGCUAGAGUACGGAAGAGGCGAGUGGAAUUCCCGGUGUAGCGGUGAAAUGCGCAGAUAUCGGGAGGAACACCAAUUGCGAAGGCAGCUCGCUGGGACGUCACUGACGCUGAGACGCGAAAGCGUGGGGAGCGAACAGG